UGCCCGGUGGUGUAAAUGGUAGCACAAGGGAUUUUGGUUCCCUUUGUCCAGGUUCGAAUCCUGGCCGGGCAGC
rnacentral:tRNA from 1 species